AACACAACCAAGUAAAAUAGCCAAUCUUAUAUACUAAUUUCUUUGCCUAGGUCAAACAGUGCUUAAUUCUGGUAUCUAAUCUUAUAAUUUGUUCAAUUCUUGAAGAGGCAUGCCACAUCAUUUCAUCCAUAGUCUGAUGCUGUUACUAGUUCAAUUUACUGAACUAACAUUGUAGGUUAAAUGAUGGAAAGUAUGCACUGGUGUGGCUAUGAUUGUUGUGAACAACAGUUUUUUGAUGAUCAUACUAUUCACUGUAUGACGUAUCUUUGCAGUAGCCCAAUGUCUGAUUAUUUAUACUUGUUUUGCUGUUCUGUCAAUUGAAUUACUACCAGGGCUCAUCACGGAUUUGGUUGGGU
rnacentral:misc_RNA from 1 species